CGCUGGACUCUGCUCAAGGUGCAAUGGGGAGGCAGCUGCUUGAGAGCUGGGGAAAACACCCUGUGCUCUAGCGAAUGUGCCGGUCCCCACGGAAGGCACGCGCUCUCCCUCAGCCCUGGCCAGCGGGUGGAAACCGUACACCGAACCUUCUGGGUCCCUCGCCCCUCCCCCACCGAGGCGGUGGCACUUUCUGCUUCCCGAGCUCUCGUCUUCUUCCUCCCUUUAGAACAACCGCGUUAAAACGAGGCAGUGGGAGCUUGCAGACUACGUAAAGCAGGUUUUCCGAGAAUCCUCCCGCGACUGCGUGGUGGUGGAACCUUCUUUUAUUUCAGAGGCCUUUUCCAGCGAGCGAGGCGGGGGCCAGAGAGAUGCCUGGAGGGUCCGGCACUUGCUGGGAAAAACUGACUGCCUGAGGUUGAUCCCCAGAACCCACUUAAAGUUGUUUCCCGACAACCGAUGAAGUGCCUGGUAUGAGCGACAAUUAAAGUUUGUUGACGAUCAACUGACAAAUGGAGAUUCGUGGUGCACAUACACUACACUCUUACGUUGCUGUCCCAGAAGGCUUUGCUUUUGCAUGAGUUACUAUGGAAGACAAUGGUCUCUCAGCAAGUACAUUUAUGCAAAGGAAGGAAUGAUACAUAUCAUCGCGGGGAUGCAGUCUUCUCUGGCAGAGACAUCACAGCUACAGAGUAUGAAUGGGCAGGUCACAUUCCAUUCACAGACAGGAAGCAGGAAGAGUAAAACUGUGUUUGGGCAUUGUGGGCUAGAAGAGAAUAUAUCCUGAUUAAAAAUAAGUAGAAAUAUGAUCCCAACAUGUUGUUUGAAGGACAUAAAAGAAAUCCAAAUGGGCAACUCAGGUAUGGCCUUCCUAAACGAUUGAAAAGCGAAGCAAAACAACAAAGAGAGGGGGACGGAAGAAGGAAAGUCCCUUCAGCAAGGCAUCCUGAUUCCUGCUUCGAAUCAUGUCUAGAGGGAUGUAUGCUGCUGGCUUGCUUACCAAUGGAUGCUGAAGGCAUAGUCUCUCACAGAACCUCAUCAAUUUGACUAGAUUCGAUGGUCAGUAAACUCCAGGGAUCUUUCUAUUUCUGCCUGUCCAUACUGGGAUUCCAGAUGUGUGAUCAAGGUUGGUUUAAAUCACCCAAGACCACCAGCCCAGGGAUGGGACUUCCCUCCAUCAAUCUCCCUGAAGUCUUGCCUGUAGCCUGAUCUUAUGGAGGCAUCUUAUCAAAUGAGGUUCCCUGUUCUCCAAUGACUCUAGCUUGUGUCAAACUGACAUGAAAGCAAACCAGGACACCAAGGGGGAAAGUUUAUGACAGACACAGCCAGUCAAUGACCUAAGAAAAGAAAAAGGCUCAGAGGAGAACACACCCUGUUCAUGCCUUUCCAAUGUCUGUCCCUGAAAGGAAGACCUGUUUACAAGAAACUUACACAAUAGAAGAAUUGGGGGUGGAAAUAUGUUUUAAAGCUUUGUCAACAGAAGCCCUUAUCCAACUGCAGGACACCCUGGUGACAGUAGUAUCAGGAGCAGCCCAGCUUGUCACUCCCAUGAACGACUUUCUUGUCCUUAAAGGAUAUUUUGUACUUGCAGUUAUUGAGGGAUCUGAAUGCUUUCGGAAAUUUCAUUCCUGAUUAAAAAUUCCAUUUGUCUCUGAGCAGAGCUUGUUUUUAAUAA